rnacentral:rRNA from 1 species
CCUACGGGAGGCAGCAGUGGGGAAUAUUGCACAAUGGGCGCAAGCCUGAUGCAGCGACGCCGCGUGAGGGAUGACGGCCUUCGGGUUGUAAACCUCUUUCAGCAGGGACGAAGCGCAAGUGACGGUACCUGCAGAAGAAGCACCGGCCAACUACGUGCCAGCAGCCGCGGUAAUACGUAGGGUGCAAGCGUUGUCCGGAAUUACUGGGCGUAAAGAGCUCGUAGGCGGUUUGUCGCGUCGUCUGUGAAAACCAGCAGCUCAACUGUUGGCUUGCAGGCGAUACGGGCAGACUUGAGUAUUUCAGGGGAGACUGGAAUUCCUGGUGUAGCGGUGAAAUGCGCAGAUAUCAGGAGGAACACCGGUGGCGAAGGCGGGUCUCUGGGAAAUAACUGACGCUGAGGAGCGAAAGCGUGGGUAGCGAACAGGAUUAGAUACCCUGGUAGUCCACGCCGUAAACGGUGGGCGCUAGGUGUGGGUUUCCUUCCACGGGGACGUCGUCGUCGUACGUCGUACGCAUAGCGCCCGCCGCGGGAGGUACGGCCGCGACGACGUAACGUACGAAGAAGUAGACGGCGUGAGACGUGCCGACGGACGACGACGAGGGAGGAGG